CCCUUAGAUGUUCUGGGCCGCGCGCGCGCUACACUGAUGCAUUCAUCGAGCCUAUCCUUGACCGACAGGUCCGGGUAAUCUUUGAAUCUGCAUCGUGACGGGGAUAGAUUAUUGCAAUUAUUAAUCUUCAACGAGGAAUGCCUAGUAGGCGCAAGUCAUCAGCUUGCGUCGAUUACGUCCCUGCCCUUUGUACACACCGCCCGUCGCUCCUACCGAUUGGGUGUGCUGGUGAAAUGUUCGGAUCGGCCGUUUGUCGCGGUUUCCGCGGCUCGUGGCUGAGAAGUUCAUUAAACCCUCCCACCUAGAGGAAGGAGAAGUCGUAACA
rnacentral:rRNA from 1 species